rnacentral:lncRNA from 1 species
UUUCUAUCUCCGCCCUGGGGUCAUUGUCAGGGAUCUGGAUCUGAAGAAGCCAAUUUAUCAGAGGACUGUAGCCUAUGGCCACUUUGGUAGGGACAGCUUCCCAUGGGAAGUGCCCAAAAAGCUUAAAUAUUGAAAGUGUUAGCCUUUUCUCCCCAGACUUGUUGGCAUAGGAUACAGAGAAGCCUUCAAGCUCUGAGGGAAAGGGCCCUCCUUCCUAAAUUUUCCUGUCCUCUUUCAGCUCCUGAUCCGUUGCAGUCACUCUAGUCAAUGACAUGAAUUUUAGCUUUUGUGGGGGACUGUAAGUUGGGCUUGCUAUUCUGUCCCUAGGUGUUUUGUUCACCAUUAUAAUGAAUUUAGUGAGCAUAGGUGAUCCAUGUAACUGCCUAGAAACAACACUGUAGUAAAUAAUGCUUUGAAAUUGAACCUUUGUGCCCUAUCACCCAAUGCUCCAAAGUCAUAAUUGCAUUGACUUUCCCACCAGAUGCUGAAAAUGUCCUUGUAAUACGCACGUAAAGUACUUGUAGUUCCACUUAUAGCCUCUGUCUGGCAAUGCCACAGCCCUGUCAGCAUGAAUUUGUAAUGUCUUGAGCUCUAUUAUGAAUGUGAAGCCUUCCCCUUAUCCUCCCUGUAACUUGAUCCAUUUCUAAUUAUGUAGCUCUUUGUCAGGGAGUGUUCCCUAUCCAAUCAAUCUUGCAUGUAACGCAAGUUCCCAGUUGG